rnacentral:lncRNA from 1 species
GACACGUGGAAAGAGAAGACUUGGCUUGUGGCAGACGCGUGGUGUCUCUAAAAUAGGCUUGUGCCUGCGUUAUGGCUUCGUGUAAAUUAUCUAACGUAUAAGAAUAUGAUAAGAUAAUCCCGUGACACAGAGGUUUGACAGUUUCAGGUUUUGGCGUCAAGCAACCUACCACAAACCCCUUUAACGAGAGACCUUCUAAUUCCACAAGAAGGUUAGGACUUAGGAGAAUCAUCCAGCUUUCUCCUUAAACCACCUAGCUGACUCCUUUUACGUUCAUCAUAUCACAGGCAAGUCAUUUAAAUGAAACUGAGACUGAAGUUGAUCAAACCAAAUGACAAACCUGAAACCUCCACUUAUCAAAAAAAAAUGGCAAACUUUUUUUUUUUUUUUAAAUGGCAAACCUUCCCUAUAUAGUUCAUGAAUAUUCCAUUAUGUUCAUUUAUCUAUAUUUUAUUUUAUUUUGGUAAAAUUAUCUAUAUAUACAUUCAAGGUAAACAUGUUAAAUUUUAGAAAUGCCCUUUUCUUCAUCCCACUUGACUAGUAGUAAUGUUCCAGAUGCAGAGAUGCUAUCAUUCACUAUA